rnacentral:lncRNA from 1 species
GGUCUGGCUGUCAUGCUUCCUCUUCUCUUCCCUUCGCAAUUCAUCCAACUUUUCUUUGGUAAAUGGGAAGGCAUCAACCCCAUACCGGUAAAUGAGUUCUACACCAUCAUAGUAAGUAUCAUCAUCCUUGGUGUUGUCAGGCUGCAAAAUAACUAAGCAAGGAAUGCUUUCCACGUCAUAUUUUCGAUUCAAUGCCUUCUUUGUCUCCAAAUCAGAAAAGGGAAUCGAAAGCCAUGGCAUGUUUUCAC